rnacentral:rRNA from 1 species
GUCGGCAGCUAGCUCUGUGCAACUCUCACAUGAUCGCCCACUGAAGUUAAGCAGGGAUGCACCCGGUCUGUACCUGGAUGGUAGACCACAUGGGAAAGCUAGGUUGCUGCCGGAA